rnacentral:rRNA from 1 species
GUCUUUUAGAAUUUAAUUUAAAGUUUGACCUGCCCAAUGAGGUAUUUAAUGGCUGCAGUAUUUUGACUGUACUAAGGUAGCAUAAUCAUUAGUUUUUUAAUUGAAAGCUGGAAUGAAAGGUUAGACGAAAAAAUAGCUGUCUCUUAAUAAUUUAUAUUGAAUUUUAUUUUUAAGUUAAAAAGCUUAAAUAAAAUUAAAAGACGAGAAGACCCUAUAGAGUUUUAUAUUAUUUUUUUUUGUGAAAUUAUUAGAAUCUUUAGUUUACUUUUCAAAUUAGUAUUUAAUUGGGGUGAUUAAAAAAUUUAUUAAACUUUUUUUUUAUAAAAUCAUUUAUUUAUGAUUAAUUGAUCCAUAGUUUUAUGAUUACAAGAAUAAAUUACCUUAGGGAUAACAGCGUAAUUUUUUUUAGAGUUCUUAUCGAAAAAGAAGAUUGCGACCUCGAUGUUGGAUUAAAAUUAAUUUUUGGUGAAGAAGCUGGAAUAUUAGGGUCUGUUCGACCUUUGAAAUUUUACAUGAUCUGAGUUUAGACCGGCGUGAGCCAGGUUGGUUUCUAUCUUUAAUAAAAUUUAAUAUUUUAGUACGAAAGGACCAAAUAUUAGUAAUAUUUAUUAAAAAUUGAAUAAAAUUA